GGACCCUUAGCUCAGUUGGUUAGAGCGUUUCCUUGACAUGGAAAAGGUCGAUGGUUCGAGUCCAUUAGGGUCCA
rnacentral:tRNA from 1 species